GAUGAACGCUGGCGGCGUGCAUAACACAUUCAAGUCGAACGGAAUUACAGGAGAGCUUGCUCGAAUGUAAUUUAGUGGCGGACGGGUGAGUAACGCGUGAGCAACCUGCCUCAAACUGGGGAAUAACGCAUCGAAAGAUGUGCUAAUACCGCGUAAGACCACGCUACCGCAUGGUAGAGGGGUCAAAGGAGCAAUCCGGUUUGAGAUGGGCUCGCGUCCGAUUAGCUAGUUGGUGAGAUAACGGCCCACCAAGGCGACGAUCGGUAGCCGACCUGAGAGGUUGAACGGCCACAUUGGGACUGAGACACGGCCCAGACUCCUACGGGAGGCAGCAGUGAGGAAUAUUGGGCAAUGGGCGCAAGCCUGACCCAGCAAUGCCGCGUGAAGGAAGACGGUUUCGGAUUGUAAACUCUUUAAGAGGGACGAUAAUGACGGUACCUCUUGAAUAAGCCAACGGCUAACUACGUAG
rnacentral:rRNA from 1 species